UACGUAGGGGGCAAGCGUUGUCCGGAUUUAUUGGGCGUAAAGAGCGUGUAGGCGGCUAUGCAGGUCCGCUGUGAAAACUCGAGGCUCAACCUCGAGACGUCGGUGGAAACCGCAUGGCUAGAGUCCUGAAGAGGAGAGUGGAAUUCCCGGUGUAGCGGUGAAAUGCGCAGAUAUCGGGAAGAACACCCGUGGCGAAGGCGGCUCUCUGGGACGGUACUGACGCUGAGACGCGAAAGCGUGGGGAGCGAACAGG
rnacentral:rRNA from 1 species